UACGUAGGGUGCAAGCGUUAAUCGGAAUUACUGGGCGUAAAGAGCUCGUAGGCGGUUUGUCGCGUCUGCCGUGAAAGUCCGGGGCUUAACCCCGGAUCUGCGGUGGGUACGGGCAGACUAGAGUGAUGUAGGGGAGACUGGAAUUCCUGGUGUAGCGGUGAAAUGCGCAGAUAUCAGGAGGAACACCGAUGGCGAAGGCAGGUCUCUGGGCAUUAACUGACGCUGAGGAGCGAAAGCAUGGGGAGCGAACAGG
rnacentral:rRNA from 1 species